rnacentral:rRNA from 1 species
GACGAACGCUGGCGGCGUGCUUAACACAUGCAAGUCGAACGGAAAGGCCCUGCUUUUGUGGCGUGCUCGAGUGGCGAACGGGUGAGUAACACGUGAGUAACCUGCCCUUGACUUUGGGAUAACUUCAGGAAACUGGGGCUAAUACCGGAUAGGAGCUCCUGCUGCAUGGUGGGGGUUGGAAAGUUUCGGCGGUUGGGGAUGGACUCGCGGCUUAUCAGCUGGUUGGUGGGGUAGUGGCUUACCAAGGCUUUGACGGGUAGCCGGCCUGAGGGGGUGACCGGCCACAUUGGGACUGAGAUACGGCCCAGACUCCUACGGGAGGCAGCAGUGGGGAAUAUUGCACAAUGGGCGGAAGCCUGAUGCAGCAACGCCGCGUGCGGGAUGACGGCCUUCGGGUUGUAACCCGCUUUCGCCUGUGACGAAGCGUGAGUGACGGUAAUGGGUAAAGAAGCACCGGCUAACUACGUG